rnacentral:rRNA from 1 species
UACGUAGGGGGCAAGCGUUGUCCGGAAUCAUUGGGCGUAAAGAGCGCGUAGGCGGCCCUGUAAGUCCGCUGUGAAAGUCAAGGGCUCAACCCUUGAAUGCCGGUGGAUACUGCAGGGCUAGAGUCCGGAAGAGGCGAGUGGAAUUCCUGGUGUAGCGGUGAAAUGCGCAGAUAUCAGGAGGAACACCGAUGGCGAAGGCAGCUCGCUGGGACGGUACUGACGCUGAGGCGCGAAAGCAUGGGGAGCAAACAGG